rnacentral:SRP_RNA from 1 species
GCCGGGUGCCAUGGCGCAUGCCUGUAGUCCCACCUACUUGGGAGGCUGAGGCUGGAAGAUUGCUUGAGUCCGGGAGUUCUGGGCUGUAGUGCCCUAUGCUGAUUGGGUUUCUACACUAACUUUGCAAUCAAUAUUGUGACCUCUCAUGAGUGGGGGACCACCAGGUUGCCUAAGGAGGGGUGAACUGGUGAACUGGCCCAGGUCAGAAAUGGAGGAGGUCAAAACUCCCAUGCUGAUCAGUAGUGGGAUUGUGCUUGUGAAUAGUCACUGCACUCCAGCUUGGGCAACAUGGCAAGAUCCCAUCUCU